AGUAGUAACACGUGGGUAACCUGCCUGUAAGACUGGGAUAACUCCGGGAAACCGGAGCUAAUACCGGAUAGUUCCUUGAACCGCAUGGUUCAAGGAUGAAAGACGGUUUCGGCUGUCACUUACAGAUGGACCCGCGGCGCAUUAGCUAGUUGGUGGGGUAAUGGCUCACCAAGGCGACGAUGCGUAGCCGACCUGAGAGGGUGAUCGGCCACACUGGGACUGAGACACGGCCCAGACUCCUACGGGAGGCAGCAGUAGGGAAUCUUCCGCAAUGGACGAAAGUCUGACGGAGCAACGCCGCGUGAGUGAUGAAGGUUUUCGGAUCGUAAAGCUCUGUUGUUAGGGAAGAACAAGUGCGAGAGUAACUGCUCGCACCUUGACGGUACCUAACCAGAAAGCCACGGCUAACUACGUGCCAGCAGCCGCGGUAAUACGUAGGUGGCAAGCGUUGUCCGGAAUUAUUGGGCGUAAAGGGCUCGCAGGCGGUUUCUUAAGUCUGAUGUGAAAGCCCCCGGCUCAACCGGGGAGGGUCAUUGGAAACUGGGAAACUUGAGUGCAGAAGAGGAGAGUGGAAUUCCACGUGUAGCGGUGAAAUGCGUAGAGAUGUGGAGGAACACCAGUGGCGAAGGCGACUCUCUGGUCUGUAACUGACGCUGAGGAGCGAAAGCGUGGGGAGCGAACAGGAUUAGAUACCCUGGUAGUCCACGCCGUAAACGAUGAGUGCUAAGUGUUAGGGGGUUUCCGCCCCUUAGUGCUGCAGCUAACGCAUUAAGCACUCCGCCUGGGGAGUACGGUCGCAAGACUGAAACUCAAAGGAAUUGACGGGGGCCCGCACAAGCGGUGGAGCAUGUGGUUUAAUUCGAAGCAACGCGAAGAACCUUACCAGGUCUUGACAUCCUCUGACAACCCUAGAGAUAGGGCUUUCCCUUCGGGGACAGAGUGACAGGUGGUGCAUGGUUGUCGUCAGCUCGUGUCGUGAGAUGUUGGGUUAAGUCCCGCAACGAGCGCAACCCUUGAUCUUAGUUGCCAGCAUUCAGUUGGGCACUCUAAGGUGACUGCCGGUGACAAACCGGAGGAAGGUGGGGAUGACGUCAAAUCAUCAUGCCCCUUAUGACCUGGGCUACACACGUGCUACAAUGGACAGAACAAAGGGCUGCAAGACCGCAAGGUUUAGCCAAUCCCAUAAAUCUGUUCUCAGUUCGGAUCGCAGUCUGCAACUCGACUGCGUGAAGCUGGAAUCGCUAGUAAUCGCGGAUCAGCAUGCCGCGGUGAAUAC
rnacentral:rRNA from 1 species